rnacentral:lncRNA from 1 species
UUGGGAUAUGGUUCUGUAGUCCAACAAUGCAUGCAUGCUUCAGAAUUGCUUAAAGAAGAAGUAGGCGUUAAUGUGACAGUUGCUGAUGCCAGGUUUUGCAAACCUUUGGAUAUUGAUCUCAUCAGGCUACUCGCCAAAGAGCAUGAAAUACUCAUCACAGUGGAAGAGGGCUCUAUUGGUGGUUUUGGAUCACAUGUUUCUCAAUUCUUGAGUUUAUCUGGUAUCCUAGAUGGACCACUAAAGGUAAGUGACUCUCUAUGAUGUCAUUUUCAGAUUAAUAUUCUUUCAUGUGCAGUUCUGACUAUCACCCCUUUUGGUUUGGCUGCAGUGGAGAGCAAUGAUGCUUCCUGAUAGGUACAUUGAUCAUGGAGCACCUCAGGAUCAGGUUGAAGAAGCAGGGCUUUCAUCAAAACACAUUGCGGCAACAGUUAUGUCCCUUCUUAAAAGGCCAAAAGAAGCUCUUCUGUUCAAAUAGAAGCAGGAAAUGGAAUGAGGAUCUUGACCUGAGACAUGGAAGAUGCAUGCAGUUCUGUUGGCAUUGCGGUUUAUAGGAAGCUGUAAAUAACUCUAAACUGAAUUGUUGUUUUGGAUUCUCAGGUCAGACCAAGAAUCAUGAGUGAAUAACGAGAUUAAUUUAUUCUUGCAACUGGAGGAAACAAUCAAGGCAUUGUAAUCUAUCUAUAUAUUAAUGUUAUAUGUAAUUAACAUCCUAAUUUUCCAUCAAGCAUAAGCAAUCUUUUUCUUACGUUGAUGGAUUUGGCAGUCAAUUUUUCUGAUAACGAAGGGUCAGGUCUUACCCCACUUGAACACCAUCUACUACUCUUUCUUAUCAAUAUAAAAUCAAUUCCCUCCAGAUAUUUACUAAAUAAUGUUACCUUCAAUAACAUCACACAAAUAGGAUUUGUCAAAACCAUAAAGUUAAAUUAUUGUUUGAGCUAUGACUUACACACCUUGUAAGUUGUAAGACUUUAGGAAUCUCUCCUCAGCAAACUUGGUUAGAAAAUUUUCAUGUAUAUCAGCAUGUGGUAGUAACAAGGCAGAAGGUAACUAUAAUGUUGACAGAUAAUUUAGUCAUCAAUGACAUAAAACAUAAUAGGCGUAGUCAAGACCAUAAUACUAAAAUAUAUGUUUUAGCAAUGACUGAUAACAUACGAAAUUUUAUUAAAGAAAAAUAGAGAUGAAUUAACUUUGUGGGCAAAGGUCGAUUUAACUCUAAAAGGGUCAAGUUGUCAACUGUCCAACCAUGUUUAAGGGUGAGAAGAAGUAUGAGAUGUGAAACUUAAGAUGAUUACUUUUCUUUAGCAUAGCAACAUAGACCUGCUAGAAGUGAUUGAGAAUGAUACCUGGUAUGAAGAUCAAAGAUAUAAAUAUCAGUUGAAUUCCAAAGCUAGCCAUAUUCUGAUAUAUGCUCUUUCUGAUGCAGAGAUUUCUAAAGUUGAUGUUAAUCGAAGUGCUAAGAAGAUGUUGGAUAUUUUGGCUUUGUCACAUAGGUAAAACGAAACAAGUUGGCUCUACUUAGAUGCAAGUAUGAGAUGUUCACCAUAGGCAACAACGAGAGCAUUCAAUCCAUAAUUUGUAGGCUGCAAACUAUACACCUUGUAACUCAUUUCACAGUUAUUUUAACAUACUAAAAACAGAAGUUUAUACACAUAUAACACACACAUACACAUUUUUUUUAUUAAAAAGAUUUCUUUGACACCACACACAAUAAAAAUUUACCCUUAACACCAAAUUAUAACAUUUUAAAAAAAAUAUAUAUAUAAUUAAAAUAUUAUUUUAUUGAUUUGUGAAGGGUAUGUUUUAUGGUGUUAUAAUACCACCCUUUUCUUAUAUUUAUAUUAGGAUUUAUAUACUUAACUUAUCAAAUCGCUUAUAUUAUAAUUAGUUCGCUAAAUUCACAAAUUUAAUAUAUAAUAUUUAAUUAUAAAAUAAUUUAUAACCAAAUCCUUAUAAAAGGAAGAUUAAUAAAACUUUAUAAAUAUUAUUAUCUAUAGAUUUAAAAAUAAAAAUAAUGGAAAAUAGAAAUACCAUUAACUAUAUACAUACGAUAUAUAUACAUGCAUUUAUACAUAUACAUUAACUAUAUGUAUGUAUGGCGUUACGUCAGGAGAUAAGGCCACCCAUGUUGAGUUGUUGGUGAAGUGUGCUAUAAUUUUUUGAAAUAAUUAUUAGUUUUAUAAAUUUUUAUAUAUUAACACUAAAAAAACAUUUGAAACGCGUGAAACACAUUACAUGGGUUCCAAUAUUAUUAUUACCUUUCAUCAUUGGGAAAUAGAAGAUCACAUGUUGACAGUGUAAUGUCGUAGUUCGCAUCUACAAAACCGAGUAUGAUUUCUAAUAUUAUCAUAUUAAUAUACAAUGAAAUUUUCACUUGUAUAAAAAAUAUUUUUUAAUAAUAUUUCAAAGUUAUAAUACAAAAUUUAUAAUGAAGAUUUUGUCUAUAAAAAAUAAAAUAAAAAAUGAAACAGGAAAACUACUAGAUUAAGAUAAAUGACUACAUAGAAUAUUAGAAAAAAUAACUACACAUACUUAUUCAAUUAAAAUUUAAAUGUUUAGAAUGUUUGAUUUUAAAUAAUUAAAUUUUUUAUUAUAAUAUCAUGAAAAAAGUUUUAUUUUAUUUUCAUAUAAUAAAUAAAAUCAUAUAAAAUAUAAAAUAUAAAUUAUAAGACAGUGUACUAAAAUUUAGGGAAAAAAAUACUAACGUAACCCUUUUUCUAUUAUGAUAAGAGAAGAAAUAAAAGAAAAUGAUAAAUAUUGUGUUUAGAAAAUAUUCUUCGAUAACUAAUUGAUUGAUAAUAGUUGUUAUAAAAUAAUAAAGCUGUAUGUUACAAAAGUUACUGUAAUUAUGUUUAUUGAAUUUAUUGAAAAGUGCGAUAAUACAAUGUCUUGUACACACUUUUGAGAUACAUUUAUAAAAACAUUUCUUCAAAAUCUUGUAAAUAAAUGUAUAAAAUGGAAUAGAAUUUUUUAGUAUUGUAUUUUGGAUAUUAAAGAAUUUAGUAUAGGAUCGUGAUUGUAUUCUGACACUCAAGGUGGAGAUUAAGGAAUGUUUUCGAGUUAACCUUGGAAUUUCAAGUGAAUUUUUGUACCAUAAUUACAUUAAUCGUUUUGUGUUAAGAAAUAUUUGUGAAAAUUAUAUUUGAGAGAUCUUCAAUCAAUGAUGUUAACUGAUAUCCCUCAUAAUUGUAUAGUACACUUUAUAAUAAUUACAUCAAACUUAGGGAUGACAAAGCGUGCAACAACUCGCUACCAAAAAGAGCAGGCUAAAGUCAUUGAUUUAGUUCGCUAACCCGUCCGCAUAAUUCGUAGUCCAUGUAGACCAACAACGGGACGGGUUGGCCCGCUGGAUCGCAUAAAUAAAAAAAUAAUUGUUUUAUUUUUUCAACAAAAAAAUCAUACCUCAGUUACUCAUUAUUGCAGUGUGACCUUUAUGUUAUUUUAUUCAAAAAAUUAAAUUUAAUAUUCUAAAAGAAUGAAUAUUUUAUUUUAAUCAUCUAAAAGGUUAAUAUUAAGAGUAACAAUGAAUUUAAUUUUAAGCAAAGUCUUAUAUUUAAAAUUUAUUAAUAUAAAAAAUAGAUUUCAAUAAGAUACUCAUUAAAAAAAAUAGUAAUCUUAUUACAAUAUUUUUUUAUACCAAAACUUUGAUAAGAUACUCUAAUUCAUUUAUAUACAUAUAUAAAAAAAAAUAGAUACAAAACAAAAUUUUAAUUAUUUUUAAUCAAACCUUCUAACAACACUAAUACUUGAAUUCAUAUUUUUAUCUUAAUUCAAUGAAUUGAAAUAGAAUUAAAAUUUUAAUUUUUCAACAGCAAAAAUAUUUUUUAUUUUUUUUCACAAAGGGACCAAUUUUUUUGUACAUUUUUCAGAUGAAAUAGAGAAUACAUGGAAUACAUGUAUAUGCAAGAUAGGAGACGCAAGCCGGAACUUCAAUCAUAUCUCGCCAUCAAAUUGUACACUAGGACAUUAUAAAAAAAAAAAUAGUAUAAUACCAAACUUUAUAUUUAAAAGAUACAUGAAAAUCGUUUCGGACAAUACUACUUCUGCAUAUUGUAUUAAAAAGUAAAAAAAAAAUCAUUCCUGGGUGAAAAAAAACAAGUGCAUAAUGUAAAUUUUAAUAAUAAUAUUUUAUUUUAUGUAAUAGUAAAUUAUUGUUAUUAUAUUUAUAUAUAUAUAUAUAAAUUAUAAUAAUAUUUUUUUUAUAUGAUAGUAAAUUAUUGUUAUUAUUUGAGGUGUUAAUAUAAUUCGUCAAAUUAUAUUGUGAAACUUAAUAUCAAAAUUUUUUAUUUAAAAAAAAAUCGUGCAUAUAAAUAAACUUGUAUGUUGAUAGAAAAAAUAAACAAAAGAGGAAUUAUACGUGCAAACACUUUAUAUAUAUAUAUAUAUAUAUAUACUCUUUCUUUUUUAAAAUCUUAGAAUAUAAAUAAUCUUUAUAAAAAUGAAUGAAUUUGGAUAAAAUUGAAUAAUUUUGUUUAAAAGAGAGAGGAUAUGGGUGUCUAACUACCAUGGAUCUGUCCUUUAUAGAUUUGAGACACAUUUUAAACGAAGCCAACAACUUUCAAUGAAAGGUCAUUUUAUUCAUAGUCCAUAACGCUGUGUCUGUGGGGAAUAGUGAGGAAGUAUGAAUAAUAAAUACACAAAAUCAAAUUACAUACAAAAUCAUUGAUGGUAUACAUUGAUAUUUUAUAAAGAAUAAAUAUUCAAUUCAGUAUAAUAAAUAUUAAUAUUUUUUAUUUUUAAUAUAAUAAAAAUAUAAUCUUAACAUAAUAAUAAUAAUUUUGUUAGUUUUGUUUUCAUUUAUUAAUGAUUAAUAUAAUUGAAUAUAUGUUUAAUUUUUACUAAUUCUCACUUAUGUUUAUUAAAGAAAAAAUUAAUAUUAAUAUGUAAUUAACUUUAGAGGAACUGUUUUAAAUUUAUAAAGUAAAGUAAAAAGUAAAAUGUAAAAUGCUUCUUUCAAGUUUAACUGCAUAUUAUUAUUAGUUUUUUUCUUUAAUAAAUACAUGCAACUAAGACUAAAUAUAUAUUCAAAUUAUCUCAACUAUUAAUAAAAUUCACAGAAAUAAAUCUUAUACUAAUAUUUAAUUUUUUUAUUGUACUAAAAACAAAAUAUCACAGUUGUAGUGAUUAUUUACCCAUUAUUAAUAAUUAUGUUUUUUCAAUAAAUAAUUAAAAUAAUAAAUAAAAUAAAAUUAACUACUUUAAAUUUUAAUGUUUAAAUGUUUUGGAAGGUCAUUUAUUUUUUAGACCUAUAAUUAUUUUUUAGAAUAUAACUGGUAUAAUUGGGAUGUUUGAAUAUUUUAUUAUUAAAGAGUAAAACUUAUAAAUAGUAAAAGUUAUUUUUCAAACUUCAUUUGAAAAGAACCAACAUCUCUAUAAGAUUAUUUUUUUCAUUUUCUUCUCUUCAUUCUCUCUAAAAAUCUGUCAAAUAUGUUCAUCAUUUUCAAGAUCAAAGCUUAUCAUAGAAUUUUUGACGGAGAAUAUAACAAGUUUAUCCGAUCAAACUCUUCAUUGGAGUAGGUCCUCAAUUUCCCUAAGUCAAUUUUAAGAAAUUUUGCAUGUUUGGGGCAACUUGGAUGCAUGUGGGGUUCAUAGUUAGUUGGGUUGAGGUUUAGACACUUGGUUAUGAUAAAUGUUAAUAUUUAAAUUGAAAUUGCAUCUAUUAGGGUAUAUGAAUGAUAUGUGAUUGAAAUGUGUGUGUAUAAGUUUUUGUUUUAAAACUCCAACUUAUCGUUUUUUGGGGUCUAUGUAUUAUUUAUCAACUGUGAUUAUCGUGUGGUACACGAGAACAGAAAAUGUUGCACGAUGACAGUUUCCUCAGCAUAGAUAGGCGGAUUAGUAUAUUUUGUAUAUUUUCCUUUUCUUGUGACAUGUUUAUGUAUAUAUGUAUUUUGAUUUUAUAUAGAGAGGAAAAAAUUAUUUUAAAAUUUUUAAAAUGAUAAAUGUAAAUGUAUGUAAAUAUAGUUGUGAUGAGUACUCUGAGUAAAUAUUAAAUGAUAUAAUUAUAACAAGAUAUUACUAUUUUCCUACAUUAUUAUUUUAAAAUAUCAUUUUUAUUUGUUAAAUUGUAUAAUAAUAUUUCAUUGUAAUUUGAAAUUUAUUCUAACUUUAAUUUAUAUUUUAUAAAUUUAUUUUAAAAAUAUAUUAAUAUAUCAAAUUAUUUUAUUACAUUAAUCAAAUCAACUUCAAAUUAAUUAAAAUCUUUCUAAUUAUUUUUUUUUUCUAGUUUCUUUUGUUUAAUUCAAAUAACUAUAUCUUUCAUCAUAGUAUUAGAAAUAGUUUCACUCAGCCCUAUGAAAAACAUUACAUAUAUAAAUUUUUAGAGCCAAUGCAUCCGAUUUCUACUUUCAGAAGCAACCAUUACAUUGUCCAAAGUAUAUUUGUUUUCAACAAAAAGUUACCUUUUCAGGGAAAAUAUAUAUGUGAAGUUCAAAUAAUUUUUUGACAAAAUAGAUAUGAGUCACAUAAAAAGAAACUUAUUUUUAUCUCAGUUACCCAUAUAACAUAAAAAUAUUAUUUUACGUCAGUCCAGAACAUGAACAAACAUAGAAAAUAGGUUUUCUUUAGGUCCUUUUAAUGCCAAUCAAAAUAACACAUGACAUAAAAAAAACGACAUAAAAAGUGCAUUUUACAUUGAUUAACUAUUAAUUUGAUACGAACUCAAAAUUUAUAAUGCAAUUCCACAACCAGACAAUUUGAAAAAACAAUAUAAUAAUUAAAUUGUCUAUUUCAACAUAAAGUACAAAUAUACCAAACUAUUUAAAGUAUGUGAACAAAAUAAAACUAAAUAUAUUAAAGAAGAUUGGUGUUAUAUCAACAUCAAACAAUUUGGUUCAAUCUUAAAAUAACUUAAACAUAUAAAAAAUAUAUUUGCAUUCAAACUUUCUAAUACCUGAUGUUUGAUUAGAUUAAGAAGUGUAUUUGAGGAAAUGAAUUUGAAAAGAAAAUAUGAAUAAAGUGAAGUUGUUUGGACGAAUAAAAAAAAUAAAAUUAUUAUUGAUAAAUAGUUUUUAAAUCAAAAUUCAAUUAAUUACUAAAGUUUUAUAUAACAAUACUAAAAUUUAAAUAAUUGGUAGUUAAAAUUUAGAUAACUAAUCAGAUAAUAUCAAUGUUUAUUUUUACAAAAAUCUUCACCCACAAAGAAAUUUACUCCCAAUUUUUAAUUCUAUAUCAAAUAUUUAAAUAAUAGUAGAGUGUUAACACUAUAAUUGACUAUAGUCAAAUAUACAUUCGAAAAAUUACAUGAAAUAUUUUGAACGAAAAUUUCAUCAAACAUAUGGUUAAACUUAAUUUUUACACACUAACAACCUAUAAAAAAUAAUUUCUCAAAUUAUACAAACCAACAAUUCAAAAUUUAAUAAAAAUGAAUAAUAUUUAAUCAUUUGUACCAUAUCAAAAUCAAGAAAUAAGGUUCACACAAUGGGUGUAUAUAUAUAAUAUUAAAUUUAAAUAAAAUUAUUAAAACAAAUAAAAAGUAUAGCAACCAUCCAUUAUAUGUUUUAAAGCCAUCAAUGAAAUAUCUAUAAAAUUUCUAUUAUUACCCAAUAGUAGGUGUACCCAAUUGUAGGUGUAGAACUAAAAUAAUUCGGUCCCAAUAUAUUUAAAAUAUUUUUAAACAUUUAGUACUAGAAACUAAGAUAAUUUAAUUCCAAUAAAUAAAACAUCAGAAUUUAAUGUUUAAAUCUACAUCAAUAUUAUUUGGUAUGGGUCAUACUGUCAAAUAAAUAAAACACCAAUUUUUAAAUUUAGUCUCAAGAUAUCAAUGCUCGUUUACAAUAUCAUGUCAUGUCUUAAUCUUAUUCCGUAUUUUUUGGGAAGGAAAUGCGUGUAAUGAUAAGUUGGUUAAUUUAAAUUUUUUUUUAUAAAGAACCUUUUAUUUGGUAUAAUAGACUUCCACCUUGUCUGUUAUUAGAAUUCUUUAUGAAUAGGUAUAGUCUAUCUAUGUAUCGUUUUUUUUAACAUAUGAGUUUUGGUCUUAUCCCGUAUUUUUUGUAUUUUCUUUCUUUUUUCUUUUGUUUAAUAAUACUUUUUUCAUGUGAUGGUAAAUGAUUGUUGUUACUUGAGGUGUCAGCUUAACUGAUAUCUUAAGUUGUAUAGUCCUAACAUGAAAGCUUUUAUUUAAAAAGUUAAUUUUAUUUCUGAUUAAAAAAAAAGUUAAUCUUAUUCCUGAUUAAAAAAAAAAAGUUAAUCUGAAUGUUAACUAACAUAAAUAUUAAGACAUGAGUCGUUUUUUUUGCAUUGGUGACUAGAGAUGAGAUUUUAGACGAAAGGUAACAUUGUAUGAGAUUCAAUUUCUUUUUGUUAAUUUUAAAUUUUAAAUUAUUAAUUGGAAAUGUUUCUAAUAAAAAAUAUCAUCAAUUUGUUGAAAAAAUUACACAACACUUAUCCCUUAAUUAACCCAUUAACCCAUUGGGUAUAUUUUUAUAUCAACUAUAUGACAUGCAAAUACAACACAUGAAUUUAGAUAUAAAGUAUAGUAAUUUCUAGCUAUUUUUUGUUGUGGGAAAUUGCUUUAAUUUUAAUAAGAACUUUACUAAAUAUUUAAAAAAAAACAUAAAUAUUGUAAAAAUAAUUAAUUAUAAUACAAUAAAAAUAUUGUUAACUUUAAUAUCACUCCAUUAUUUAAUGAUGAUAAUUGAAACAAUUAAUGUAUUAUGUAGCACCCUGAUUACUUUCUUACACAACAUCGUUUUCCAUAUUCACACACACACACAUAUAUAUAUAUAUAUAUAUAUAUAUAUAUAUAUAUAUAUCAAUAUAAUAAUCCAAUGAAAGGUUUAUAAAAUUAUUGUAUGUAAAAUAAAUACUAUAAAAUAAGAUAUACAUAUAUAAAAUCACCAAAGUACACUGUUUAGGUUUAGGGAGCCAUCUUUCUAAAUCCUAAACCUAAAACAUAUUUCUCCAAAAAUUCAUUUGUUUAUAUCCUAGGUGAGAGUAUACAAGAAACAAAAUAUUUAUUGGUAAGAGUUAUACUAGAAACAAAACAUUUAUUGGUGAGAGUUAUACAAAAAAACAAAAUGGGUAAGCUAAUAAGAAUAAAAUUUAUAUGCAUAUCCAUUUUAUUACAAAUGCAUUAAAUGAAUUCAUUAAUUUAUUUAAUUCAUUUCAAAUCACUCAUUUUCACCUACAGUGUCACUUGUUAUAUACUAAAUAGAAUUAGAGUCAUACAUCAAACAAAUAGGUAAACUAAACAGAAUAACAUUUAUAUACAUAUUUAUUUUAGCACUAAUUAAUAUACUACCGAACCUAUUCACUUAUUUAAUCCAUUUCAAAACACUAAAUCAAUAUACGAAUUUGUUCUUAAAUGUAUACAAAUUAACACAUGAUGAAAGAUUUAAAUAUUUAAAAGAUAAAUUAAAUAUUUUCAAUGUUUAAAAACUAAAUUAAAAGGAAAUGUAAAGAUGUAUUUCGGUUUCAGUUUUUUUUGGCAAUUGCUUCCUGCACCCAAUCAAUUUUGACUCGGAAAAUUUUAAAACUUCAUUCUGCCCUUUUCACACUUUUGCUUACGGAUUUUAAUAUCCAGAACUCAUUUAUGUUUGCUUACGAAUCUUGACAUUCGGAAGGUUAUUUAUAUUGUCCAAAUAAACUUCUGGAUGAUAAAAUGACUCUAAUAAGCCUAACAAACACUCGUUAGGAAAUGCUCGAGAUGACUCUAAUACCAUAUUAAGAAGUGGUCUUUAAGUCUAACUCAAUCCCAUAAACCAGCUCAUAGGGUUGAGGUUUGCACUCACUUAAAUAUAAUAAAAUGUGAGAUCUCCAACAUUGUUAAUUUUUUUAUUGGAUGCUGAUAUAUUAAUACCUUCAACACUAAAGCCGUAUACUUCACACUUUAAUAAAUUAAUAUUUUUUUAAUUUAAAAAUAUUAUUAUAAAUAAUAUCAAAUGUAUGCUAUUUUAUGUUCACAGUAUCAACAAAAUAUUUUUUUUUUAUUUCACUGUUUUACUUUGUCCCUCUUCUUCUUUCUUUAUGUCCCAAACAUAAAUUUUUUUAGCAACACUCUCAUAUCUAUCUUUAUCUUAAUAAAAUAUAAUAUUUUAUGUAAUACGAUAGUAACAACAUUCAAUGUUUACAAAAUAUUCAACAUUUUCAGCACAAGACGUACAUGAUUAUAUUUUUAAAAUAAAACUUUUGCUACUGGAUCCGAUCAUUUCAGCAUACCUUAUGUUUGGAUUGACUUUUUUUAUGAAUAAUUUUAAAGCUUCCAAUUUCAUUUUCUUAUUAACUUUUCCUUUAUUUUAAGGCAAGUAUUGUAAUAUGCUAUAUAUUUCAAAGACACUAAGUAUAUUUAUUUAUUUUAUUUAAUAUUUCAUGAAAUAUAUUCUAAUGUCUUCUACCUAUCUACUGUGUCUUUUUUAUUUCUUAAAUGGUGAAGAACUGUCACUAAAUCUAAGAAAAAGAAAGACAGCAUAUUGGUUAAAAUAUCUUCUACAGUUAAUAGUGAUUAUUAAUUUUCCAAAGAGGUUUUGUUAAAUUAUUUCAGCCAAUCAAUUAAUGUUUUAAAGAAAACUGAUAUUGAAAGUUGAAUGUGUAUGUUGAAAAACAUUUCCCUUGUUUUAUUUAUGCUGAAAACAAGAAAGUUGUAUUAGACAAAUGUGGAAAAGAAGAAUUUGUAGACCAAAUUAACAAGGAAAUGAAAUUAAUUAUUCAGACUUGGUUUUAUUUGUUUAUGCAUUGUUCUCCCUAUAAAAGGUAGUUCAGAAUUGAGUUUAAAUGCAAUACCACCGCGAAAGAAGCUUUGGUUCAUAAUCUGUGUUUCACAGUUCCUAUCUCUUUCAAUAGCCAUGGCCUUCUCUGCUGCUGCUACCUUUCUUAAGCCAAACUAUUCUUUCUCCCCAUCCCACAAAGCCAACUAUCACUGCAGAAACAAGGUUGGUGAAUCAAUCAUACUGUCUUUUUAUUCCUUAAGGGAUCACUCAUCUUCCUUUUCUUAACAACAACUUCACAAUUCUUUUUUCACUUAUGCUGCAAACAUGGCUCAUGUAUUAUUGUGCUUCUCAGUUCUGCGUCAGAGUUUCAGCAAGUGACUCGGGUGACGUGGAGAAGACUAUCAUCAGGAAAGACAAAGACGGAUGGAAGAUCAAUUACUCAGGAGAGAAACCACAGACACCAUUGUUGGACACAGUCAACCACCCAAUUCACAUGAAGAAUCUUUCCACACAGGUUUCAAACUAGGAAUCUUUUGUUCUUCUCUGUGGCUGACACGGCAGUUUUGUUUUCUUUGAGUUUUGUUGGCUUGUUUGUGAAAAGCAUCGCAUGUAUUUGUCAGGAUCUUGAGCAACUUGCAGCAGAGCUGAGGGCAGAUAUUGUACACAGUGUUUCAAACACUGGUGGGCAUCUUAGCUCAAGCUUGGGAGUGGUGGAGUUAUCAGUGGCUUUGCACCAUGUUUUCAACACCCCUGAAGACAAAAUUAUAUGGGAUGUUGGUCAUCAGGUAAUCUUUCGUCUUGUUUGUUUGUUCUUGCUUUCUAAUUGAAAUUAAAAAGCAAAAAAAAAAAUAUUCUUCAUUUAGAGAAAUUUGCUACAAGUUUCCAUCAUUAUAUCAUGUUUGGUGUGUUUGCUAUGUGUAAGGGAGUCUAAAAAGUAAGCAAAUUGCAGGCAUACCCACACAAGAUUCUCACAGGUAGAAGAUCCAGAAUGCACACCAUUAGGAAGACUUCGGGGCUAGCAGGUUUUCCUAAAAGGGAUGAGAGUGUUCAUGAUGCUUUUGGGGUUGGACACAGUUCUACAAGCAUAUCUGCUGGUCUUGGUGAGAUUCUUAUAUUUUAAGAUCAAUACAUGUUCAUCAAAUAUAUGUGCAGAAGCACUUAUCUCAGUGAUUGAGCAACAAUUCUCAAUAUUUAAUAGGCAUGGCCGUUGCACGUGAUCUACUGGGGAAGAAGAACAGCAUCAUAUCAGUGAUAGGAGAUGGGGCAUUGACAGCAGGCCAAGCUUAUGAGGCCAUGAACAAUGCAGGGUUCCUUGAUUCUAACAUGAUAGUAAUACUGAAUGACAACAAGCAAGUCUCUUUACCAACUGCCACACUUGAUGGCCCUGCAACUCCUGUUGGAGCCCUCAGCAGUACUUUGAGCAAAAUUCAAGCGAGUACAGAAUUCCGCCAACUUAGAGAAGCUGCAAAAGUAAGCCUCUUAAAUUUAUCAUAUUCUUAGCCAACGCCAUGAUUUCAGUGAUCAUGUCAAAUUUUCAAUAAGAUGUGGCAUUUAUUUCAUCCAAUUUUAUUUCUGAAGAGCAUCACGAAACAAAUAGGAGGACAAACACACCAGGUUGCAGCCAAAGUGGAUGAGUAUGCAAGAGGCAUGAUCAGCGGUUCUGGAUCUACAUUAUUUGAAGAACUUGGCUUGUACUACAUAGGUCCUGUGGAUGGUCAUAACAUUGAAGAUCUAGUCACCAUCUUUCAAAAAGUCAAAGCAAUUCCUGCUCCAGGUCCGGUUUUGAUUCAUAUUGUGACAGAAAAAGGAAAGGGAUACCCCCCUGCAGAAAAAGCAGCUGAUAGAAUGCACGGUGAGAAAGGGAUAUUUCUUAAUAAAUCACUAUGAGAAUUUGGAAAUUGUAAAAUCAAUUCUUAAAUCAAUUCUUAGAUCUAAUACAAAAGUUACCCUGUCAUACUUUCAGGAGUUGUUAAGUUUGAUCCAAAAACAGGCCAGCAAUUCAAGACAAAAUCCCCAACACUUUCAUACACACAGUACUUUGCUGAGUCUCUGAUAAAGGAAGCUGAAAUAGACAACAAGAUAGUGGGCAUUCACGCAGCAAUGGGUGGUGGUACCGGCUUAAAUUAUUUCCAGAAAAGGUUUCCCGAUCGCUGUUUCGAUGUGGGCAUAGCCGAACAACAUGCUGUUACAUUUGCUGCUGGUUUAGCUGCUGAAGGCCUCAAGCCCUUUUGUGCCAUUUAUUCAUCAUUCCUCCAACGUGGAUAUGAUCAGGUGAGCCAAUAUGGUUCAAUGAAAAAUAGUCCAAAAUAGUUCAAAUUUAAGUUUAUUUUUAAGUUAUUAACUGUGAUAAGAAAAUCUGAUGACUGUGAUUUAAUUUGUGCAUGUAGGUAGUCCAUGAUGUUGAUCUUCAAAAGCUACCUGUCCGCUUUGCUCUGGAUAGAGCUGGUUUGGUUGGAGCAGAUGGACCAACCCACUGUGGAGCAUUUGACAUCACUUACAUGGCUUGCCUCCCCAACAUGGUGGUCAUGGCUCCUUCUGAUGAAGCUGAACUGAUGCACAUGGUUGCAACAGCAGCAACUAUAGAUGACAGACCAAGCUGCUUCAGAUUUCCAAGGGGAAAUGGAAUUGGAGCCACUUUGCCACUGAAUAACAAAGGAACCCCACUUGAGGUGAGAAUCAGUGACUAACAUGUAUAUCCUAAACUGAAUCUUAUGGUGGUGUAGAAAUUGUUUAAAUGCUGAGAAAUUGUUUUGGUGGUGUAGAUAGGAAAAGGCAGAAUUCUGAUGGAAGGCAGCAGAGUUGCUAUUUUGGGAUAUGGUUCUGUAGUCCAACAAUGCAUGCAUGCUUCAGAAUUGCUUAAAGAAGAAGUAGGAGUUAAUGUGACAGUUGCUGAUGCCAGGUUUUGCAAACCAUUGGAUACUGAUCUCAUCAGGCUACUCGCUAAAGAGCAUGAAAUACUAAUCACAGUGGAAGAGGGGUCUAUUGGUGGUUUUGGAUCACAUGUUUCUCAAUUCUUGAGCUUAUCUGGUAUCCUAGAUGGAC